AAUGACCCUUGUAUAAAUACGCGCGCUUUGUUUACUUCCUUUUCAGUUACUCACACUUGAGAGUCGUGCGAAAGAGUCAACCGGCGUAAAGUAUCGAAGUCGAGCGCAGUAUAACACAAAUUACGAAACAAAAUCAAAGUUAAAAUCCCUAAAGGUAAGUGAUAUUAUUUUAAACUCUAUCCACAAUGAGCUAUUCCAAAUUGUAUUUGGAGAUUUUUAUUACUUAUAGGAUUUUGAUGAAUGCGUUGAUAAGACGGAUUAGGAAUUAUAUUUCAUUCACUUGAAUCAUUUCAAAAUUCUUGCCUUGGCUGGCAGACUGUGCAAUGCGCAAUUCAUAUAUAUAUAUAGCAUGGAACAAGCGUUGUUCUCAAAGUGAUUUGUCCAUGUGCAUUUAAAAUAGGAAGAGCAGUCUAGAACAGUCUUCUAUGAUAUCAGUGCAGGAUGGAUGCAGCUAUCAAAUAUAAAUAAAUUAGUUUAGGUUUCCUUCGGAUGGAAAGGGAUGCUUGCAGGGUCUUUCUGAACCUUUAGGGAAAAAAAUAGAGUUGAUGCAGUGUGAAGUUAUAGUUUAGUUGUUAUAGUCAAAUGCAAAAUACUUAUAAUACUAGCCAUGGCCUCGGCAAUGGCUAGAGGAGCGGUAAUCUAUUCAUUUGAAGAGAGAAUCUUCAGAAUGCAGUGAAUGUCAAGCGCGUCGUGAAUAUUUUGAUAUACAGUUCAUAUAAUGUAACUUUUAUUUCGUUCUGAGUUAUCUUAUACAAGGGUGCAUGUUAAAAAACAUUUUCCUAUUCUUUCUUGAUCCAAAACAAGAAUUUGAAUGACGCAAACCUAUGACGAAUUUUCGGGCGGGUUAUAAUAUUGGCGUUAUAGGAAAUUGGAGUCUUGGCAAGCCAAAAUGCGUGACAUUUUCCCGUUGACGUGUGAUUCAGCACUUGAAGCUGUAUUUCAACAACACUUGCGGUUGAAAUAUCAGGCUUAGAUCAGUAUUUUAGCGCGUCGUAGGUGGCACAACUAUGGCGUUCCAUCACAACAGCCUUUUGAGGUGUAACUGCAGAGCCCUUGAAUCGCGUACGCCAAAUAAACAAACACUUUUGAGAUGUUUUUCAACGCAUUGCAUUCUGACCGAUACGAUCAGGAAAGAGGUCAAGCUGGUUAAAGACGAGCAUGUUUUCUAUGAAAAGUUUCCAUAUGAGAAGUUUUAUUUGCCCGUCUGUAUAUACAGGCAAUUUUUCCAAGUUUUUCUAUGACAAGAAUGCUUGUUCAUUAGCUAGCGUAACUAGCUUUUGAACAAGUGCAUUUGUCAUAGCAAAAAACAAGGCAAAUAAUGAAAAGUACAAAUUUUGCUCGUAUUGUGGGUCAACAAAGAAAAUUUGACAAAGUAAUCUGAGCACAUUGUAUGGAGUUUGGGCGGUUAUAAAUGUUGUUGUAUUUUAUCGGUCAGAAAACUAGAAACUUUGUUGUUGAAAAUUUGUUAUUUGUUGUACAUAUACCCACAGGCAAUUGACAUGCAAAUAAAACUUGCCCCCAUAUGAAAAUGUGUCAUAGAAAAUUUGCUCGUCUGUAUAACCGGCUUCACUAGAGGUUCUUGACACAUUGUGUUUGACACAUCCUCAGAUCAUAUAUGCAGAAGAGUGGUUAUAUGAUAUUGAUAAUAUAUAGAAACAAAGGUAUAUACGUAAAGCGCGACACUGAAACGCAGCGCUUAACUUUUAAGAACGUUUUCCUAUUGGUGUUACACAGGGAACCAGCUGCGGCCCACAUUACUCAUUAGCUUUCCUUAAAAAUGUACAUGUCAUAUAUUCCAGAAGCAAAAGUAAAUAUUGUGAACUUUUAAGUGUGAAAAAGGGACGGUUAUAAGACUGAUUUACCAUUCUUGUUUCCAGUAAAAACGAGGUUUUAGGAAACAAUAAAUGAAAAGUUCAAACUAUACGAUAAAUAUAUAAUCUUUUCUCAUCUUUUGGAUUACGACCAAUUUAAGUUCCACUAAUUUACUUUUUAUCGGUAAAGUAACUUAAAGAUAUAAAGCUAUCUAUACCUUGUUGAUUUCUGAACUGUAAAUUUGAAAUCGGAUUAUUAUUUAAAAUCCUUAAGCCCUACCCAAAAACACUUUCAGAUCGAAUGAUAAAGGUCCAUAAAUAAUUUUUUCAACAUUGUGGCUUUAGUGUAGGUACUAUAUUCUACAACAUUCAAUAGGCUGCCAUGGUUUGUGCAUGCCGGUCUAAGUUACCUGAUCUAGAAAUCUCAAACAAUGGCAUGCCCAGUGUAGGUAUACUAUUCUACAAUAAGCUGCCGUGGUUUGUGUCUGAACUACCUGAAAAGGUAUCUCAAACGUGAUGCUCCAGUAUAGGUAGUAUAUUCUACAAUAAGCAGCCGUGGUUGUUCCAGGUAAUUCCACGCUAUCAUAAUUUAUUCAAGACGCUUUCCUGUGGGGCAAACUAAAUCAUAUUAAUAUUUGAAUUUUAAUAAUUAUAAGAAUUGAAAUCUUCGAUCAUGUAUAUAUAUCACAUUGUUUAAUAUUGGCUUUCGUGCAAAAUAUAACAGCGUCGUUUUAUUUUCACACUUAGUUAUUUAGCAGCGGGGCUCGUUUAACAAUAUACCUUUUAAAAGCGUCUUUAAAAACAUAUUUCACUACCUCAAAGAAAAGGAAAAUAACACUAAGUUUAUUUUGCCGCUAUUCUGAAAACAUAUUAUGGAAGCUUUCUAUAGAAUAGUUUAGUUAAAUGGUAAGUAACAUGUUAAAUAUUAAUACAGUUUUCAUAACAAAAACUAAUUUAGACCCCUCAGUUUUUCCCAACAAAGAUGACAGAUUUUAAUAUAUUAAUGUUUCAAUUAACGCUUGGGAUAAAUUGCCUGCCUACACAUGAUUCUGUAUACAAAAAAGUCAGCUUAGAAUUUAAUAACAGCAGAUAUACUGACGAAACAAAUCAUGACCGUCCAGGAGCUUGUAUAUACAGUAUAUAUGUAGAUUCAAAUUUAAGUCGCUUAAAUCAAGAUGGCUCAACGCAUGUGUAUUAUAUGUAUAAACGUCAUGAUGUGAUGUGAUGUGAUGUUACUCUGAGUGUAUAUUCACACCGGGCAAGCUUGAAAAAUAUGCCUGACCACGGUGGGAAUCGAACCUACGACCUUUGGAAUACUAGCCCAAUGCUCUGCCAACUGAGCUUAACUGUUUUGAUAAAUUUCUACUUGCAAUUUUGCACCAAAAUUGAGUGGUUAAAACAUUUUACAGAACUGGAAGCUUGCAGACCGAACUCGCAAUGAUAUACGAUUCCCAAAUGAGCAACAAACAUUUGAGCGAAUGUUCUAAAAUUGGAAGAGCAUUUAAAUCCUAUAGAAGUGGAAAAAUGCAAUUUCAACCGACUACUUUAAUUAAAUCCGAAUUUGGUCAUUUUUUAUCACGAUGAUUCAUUUGCAAGGUGUAAUUUGACAGCUAAGAGCCUGAUCUUUAUAAUUACGAAAACAUAAAACCUAUACUGUAUAAAGGUAAUAAUAUGAAAACUGUUUUUUUUGUAAACCCUGUAUAAGUAAAAGGACAAGGAAAUAAUCUAUUUAUAAGAUAGGAUUAUCCUGCAAUAUAUAUAAAUAAAAAUUUUCUUAAUUGUCAAAAUUUCGACAUAAAAAUUGCGUUGAAUAAUUGCAGCAUCAAGUAUUCAACAUUUUGAUUAAUAAGCGUCCUGUCAGUUAGAGAAAUUUGUAAAAAUUAUAAUUGGUAGCAAUAUCAUCUCCAAACUCCGUAACGCGUAUGGUAAAUGUAUAUAAAUUAACAACAAUCAGAAAUGUUUUAUUAUUUAUCAAUGUGAGAUUUUAGCGUUGGCGUUAAAGUGUUACUUGUAUUUGAGCGUGUAUAGAAUAAAUUAGUGCUAAAUUGUCCAUCUGCGCGAAAACCUCCCACAAUGUCGCGAUAAGGAAGAAAUACUAAACUUGUACUGUGGAAAACAAUCUUUGCUUUGUUGAGUAAGGUCUGGUUUACAUCAAAAUUUCUAUCAUUACAUGUGCAGUAUAGGAAUUUUGCAUGUAUAUAUAGGUAAGUUCUAUAACUUUUGAAGGAUUUGUAAGAAAUGUUUGAGGGAAUUAACUAGAGCAUUCAUUGACCGGCUAAUAUCGCAAAGGUCGCGGGUUUGAAUGAUUCCCUGCAUCGUGGUCAGGCAAACUUUUCAGUUUGCCCGGUGUGGAUGCACAAACAUCAAUUUGGACUAGUGUUAUACUUAAUUUGGACUAGUGUUUACUGAUUUUCUAACCGCUUAACUUUUUUGUUUAGUAAGUUGUGAUCAUGGCUUGGAAAUCAAUGUUGUCAAGUUUAUUAUUUGUUAGUGCGAUUAUGGUUGUCGUUGCCUCUCCUAGACGGAGAUUUGCAACCCCCCAAGAGAUGGUAUGAAUUAGAAUAUGUUACUAUAUAUAUCUAGACCUAUAGGGCGCUGCCCCUGCCCCAGUGAGCUCUCUCUCUAUAUAUAUACAUAGACAUACGAUGCGG
rnacentral:lncRNA from 1 species